GUGAGGUUCAAAAGAAAAUAAAUGUUUUAAACUCUUAUGGUAUCAGAUACCAUAAUUAGUCCAAAACCAAUGAGUACCCUUUCUCCACUGACCUGGCCUACAUUUAAGAGCUACACAUUUACAAAAUGAACUGAUAGACUGAAGAAAAAGCUGACAAAGCCUUUACACUCACUUGUCUUAGUGGCUCCUGAUACAGCGAGUUUAGUGGUGGUGACCAGUGUCUGAAUAACAAUUCUCAUUUCUUUGAUGUUUUAUGGUUGACAAAAGAACUUUCCUCUUAAUACUUUGAGAGAGGCAGAACAGAUAUUGUCCCCAUCUUGCAGAUGAGGAAACUCAAAGAACUUCAGUGGUUUUAUACAUCUUUGAAGCUAGAAUUUGCACUCCAUUCUAAUACUAAAUCCAGCAUCCACCUGUUCGUAUGAUCUAGGGAUCUCAAUCAACCCAACAGCUUGAAUAUUUAACAAGAUGAAAGGUUGGCAGGAAUCCUAGAGAUCAUUUCAUCCAACCCAUGAAUUUUAGAUGAUGAAAAAAAAAAAGAUCAAGAAAGGUCAGGCAACUCCUCCAAGGUCAGCACAGGUGAUCAGCUGUAUUGGAAUUUACACCAGGUUCUGACUCCAAACCCAGACUCUCCAGUGGGCCACAGUGUUCCUACAAUGUCACCCACACUCACUCUCUUGCUUGGCUGAUCAAAGAAUCAGUUUGUGGAUUCAGCUGAAAGGCUCCAACUCUUUUCAAGUAUCUUUCCAACCCUUUCCCCAAUCAGAGGCUCACAACUUCCAAACACAUCAUUCAAAGGUUUUUAAUAAACAACUUCAUUAUAAAAACUUUCUUCUUGAAAAUGUAAUUCUGUAAAACAUUGAAAAAUCUAAUUUAACAAAGAUACGCCCUGUGCAUUUUCUAAUGGCACUUAAUAUUUUACAAUUAAAAACCUUGUUUUAUAUAAAGCCAAAAAUACUCCAAUAAAAAGAGGUUAUUCACUGUGUAUACAAAGUGCUAGAAAGUUUUUGUUUUGUUUUUUUUUUUUUCCUUUUUUCUUUUUAAAUAGUCCGGCCUUACAAACAGGCAGCUCUGUGGCCUUAACAGCCAGGGGUGGGGUGUGUCUGUGUGUGUGUAUAGGACUAGGAUUUGGAAAGGGGAGUUUGAGGAGCGGGUGUGCUAGAGGUGGAGAGGGUCACUGGCAGUGUUCCUCCCACAGCAGGUUCAGAGCUCAACUAGUAUUAGGAGAGGCCGGGGUCGGGGCUCCAGAGACUCUGGACUUCUCUGGUCACCACCUGCCUAAGGCAAAGUUUCUUAUUACAUAAAUAUCCUUGUUAAAAAGCAAAAUAUUGAUCCUGUACAAUAUAAACUGUUACCAAAAAAAAAAAAAAAAAAAUCGUGCUAAAAACAGCUUCUAGAUAUGGGGAAAAAAACUACCAAAAAAUUAGGGGAAGGGAUUUUAAUGAGGCACUAAGGAAAGAUUGGGAGUGAGGAGGAUUUCAUAAACUUAGGGCAAUAUCUACGAGCAUAAGUAAUCAAACCUGCUCUGCAGAUUUCCACUUUAAACAAAAUAUCAUUAGUCAAAGGCUAAAAAAGUUCAUUAAAGGGCCUCUCCAUCUCCUGUGGCUAUAGGGGCUCAGGGACUCAGUUCAUGCCACAUUUCUCCCUCCCCCCCCAAAAAAAAAACAAACAAAAAACCAGGAACAGGGAACAACAGGUUACACAGAAGCCAGACUGAUGGAGGUUCAGGAUGGGAACAGAAUGGCCAGCUCUGCUGCCCAAGGGAGGCAAAACCAGGUCAGUCAAAAGCUGCCAGUGUUAGAGUGGGAAAAUACUGGGGAAUAGGGAUGGAGGCAAAAAAAGGUAUACUGGGACUGGAGUUUCCUCUGCAAUUCAUAUUCCUGAUACUCAGUUACCUUGACUGUACAAACUCUUAGCUGUCUUUUGGUCAAUGCUGCAUAAGAAUUUAUUAUCCUUGGUCAAGGUGAAUGAGUUUUUGCAGCACUUUUCAACAAAAAUCUGUCUGGGUGCUGAAUUCAGGGCAAAGACAGAGUUAUUAAGCUACUUGUAUCUUUAAAAUAACUGCACUUUCAGCCUUUAAAAAAAAAUGGGUUAACUUCACUUCCCUAAUUUGGACCCAAAAAGGAAUGAUCAGGUGGCUAUUGGCCAAAAGGAGCUGCCGAUGUUUCCUCUGCACAGGGCAUACUGGAAAACUGACCUUGAAAUAGUAAUUUCAUGGUGAUUUGUGAGGAUAUUUGGAGAGGUAGGUGUGGGGAAGUAAAGGGUAACAGGACUUGGGGACAGUGAAAUGAGGUACCAGUUUCAGAGUUAAGUAGUUGCCUUGCUUAUCACAUGAAGUUUUUGGGAGCCCUUUUACAUUUGUCACUUCAGCAAGAGAAAGCAAGUGGAAAGCUGGAGGACGAGGGGCUUAGGGACACACACAGGGGGAGGACAGAGAUGAAUAAACACUCACAUCCAAGUCCCCUGCCACUUGGGAUUAAGGGAAAUUUGUAUUUUACAGCCAGAGGUCCCAAGACCUCUGCUGGUCAAGUGUGCAGUGACCGCGGGGAGGGGGAUGGGGGUACAGUGGUGAAGACAAAAUACAACAGAUGAGUAUAAAGUCAUGAAUGGUAGCGAUGAGCCCCACUGGCCCCUCCUUUACCAUUUUCCAUAAUAUAAGUCUUAGAUGAAAUGAACAGCAACUGGCCAUGUGGACAAGGCCAACGCCUUUCUUUAGAAAACAUAAUUAGUCCAUGGAAUUCACUUAUAGCUGAUUCUUGAAAGCAAACCACCUAGCCCAAACCUAAGAAGGACUAGACAUUUCUACA
rnacentral:lncRNA from 1 species